rnacentral:rRNA from 1 species
AUGGCGAUCAUCUCCGAGGACAUCAUGCAAGAGGACGAGACCUCACCGCAGCCUCAGCAGCAGCAGGCGGCGGCCGCCGCCCAGAAGGACAACAGCAGCACGGAGGCGGAGAAGAAGGAGACGGAGGAGGAGAGCAAGGGGAGGCAGCCGAACUCCGGCAACGGCCUCGACCUGGACAAGUACUCGUGGGCGCAGCAGCUGCCGGAGGUGAACCUCACCGUCCCCGUCCCCGAGGGGACCAAGGGCCGGUCCGUCGUCUGCGAGAUCAAGAAGGACCGCCUCAAGGUCGGGCUCAAGGGCCAGCCCCCCAUCAUCGACGGCGAGCUGCACAAGCCCGUCAAGGUCGAGGACUGCUUCUGGAGCAUCGAGGACGGGAGGUCGCUGUCUAUACUGCUGACCAAGCGUAACCGGAGCGAGUGGUGGAAAACCCUGAUCAAGGGCGAUCCGGAGAUCGACACCCAGCGCGCCGAGCCGGAGAGCAGCAAGCUCUCGGACCUGGACCCCGAGACGAGGCAGACCGUGGAGAAGAUGAUGUUCGACCAGCGCCAGAAGCAGAUGGGCCUGCCCACCAGCGACGAGAUGCAGAACCAGGACAUGCUCAAGAAGCUCAAGUCCCAGUACCCGGACAUGGACUUCUCCGGGAUGAAGAUGCCUUCGUAG